AGUCUCUUCAGCAGCAUAUGUACAAAAAUUACAACAAUACAGAGAUUAGCAUGGUCCUGUGCAAGGAUGCUACAAACAUCUGUGAGGCGCUCCAUACAGGUUUUU